UGCCCUGUGGUGUAAUGGUAACACAGCGCCCUUUGGAGGCGUUACUCAUGGUUCGAAUCCAUGCAGGGCAG
rnacentral:tRNA from 1 species